ACCCCAAAUUGACCCCAUUUUGACCUUAACUGACCAAUGCUGACCAAUUCAGAAACAUUCGUUUUGAUGGACGUAAGUCCCCGGGAACAAGAUCCACUCACACAAUUAAAACACCACAGGUUUUGAAACCAGUGAAGAAAACAUAUAUAUUUUAUAUAAAAUAUAUUUCAUUAAAAACCCGGAAGGAAACACUGAAAAACAAUUUUCAAUAGUAUUGUCCUUAUUGAUAAAUGACGCAUGGUGUAUCGGAUUUACUACGCUAGCUUUAUGAAUGAAGUGUAGUAAAUAUAUUCCCACGUACUUUUAAAAGCCAACCAAUGAAAAUGCAUUGAUUUCCACUUCCGCAUCUAGAACAUUCGAACAUUCGUUCACGUAAAUAAACAAAUACGUUUGUAUUGUUGAAUUAUACAACGGAAAUAAGUGGAAUUAAACAUCUAAAAUGUGUAUUCAAGAAUUGCCAAGAGAUACUAAUUAUCUAACUGGGUGUUUGAAAGAAAGAUAUCCCAACGGCCCUGACAUACAAACAUGGAAUUCGUUAUACUGCGGAAAAUAUUAUAGACUCAUUCAACAGUAUGUCUGGCAUCCAGAUGAAUUACAACGUCAAUAUGCAAAACAUCACGAAGAAAACGAUUGCUUAAAACAAAAUAUAUCUGAAAAAGCUACUUAGAUAAACGAAUUAUAACAACAAUUGGAAAAACUUCAAGAAGAGAACUUGUAAUCACUCGAGCGUAGGAUUGUUUUACAACUGCUUACGUGACUGAAUAUCAUACUUGUAAUCACUCGAGCGUAGGAUUGGUUUACAACUGCUUACGUGACUGAAUAUCAUACUUGUAAUCACUCGAGCGUAGGAUUGUUUCACAAUUGCAUAUUCGGCUGAAUAUCAUACUUGUAAUCACUCAAGCGUAGGAUUGUUUUACAAUUGCAUACAUGAUUGAAUAUCAUAGUUUUCACUUGUUUCCUGUAAUCACUAUAGCGUAGGAUUGUUUUACAACUGCUUACAUGACUGAAUAUCAUACUUGUAAUCACUCGAGCGUAGGAUUGUUUCACAAUUGCAUACACAACUCGAGGGUUGAACGCAAAAAGGGCGUAUCUACAUAUGAUUAUUAUAUGUAGAUACACCCUUAUUGCUUUGAACCCUCGAACUGAAUAUCAUAGAUUCUUACUUGUUACUUGUUAUCACUCAAGCAUAGGAUUGUUUCACAAUUUUCUGCAGGAUAAUAAUCUGAUGUUAGAAAUAUCAGUUAAUGAGACAUGACAUUGAUUGUUCGUUCUUUUUGUUUUAUAUUGUUAACUUUUCAGUAUUUUAUACAAUAAAUCAUAAAUGUUUAUACCAUCUUGUAACAUUUUAAAAGAAAUAAACAAUAAUAACCACACAA